GUUUCCUGUGCUAUUCUUGUGAUUGACAGUGAAUGAGUCUCACAAGAUCUGACGGUUUUUAAAAACGGGAGUUUCCCUGCACAAAUUUGCUUGCUGGCAACCAUGUGAGAUGGGACUUUCUCCUCCUUGACUUUCGCCAUGAUUGUGAGGCCUUCCCAGCCAUGUGGAACUCUUCUUUCGUGGCAAUUUUCCCCCAGGAGGGAUUUCCCUGCAGUGGACCUCCUCCCCAGUGGUACCUUCAGCCAUCAGAACACCUCGCUUUAGAUCUGUGGGUCCCAAAUUUCAUCAAAUCCAAUGACCAUUUCUAUGCUGGAAUUCUGUGAAGCACAUGACCUCAAGUCUUUGGAUAAAUGGAAACGCAGCUUAUGCCGGAAAGAUGGAAGGCUGGCUGUACUAAUAUCAGAAAUGGAAGAGGAGAGACAUCACUAGAGAUCCCAUGGAUAUUGAAAGGAUAAUAAAGGAGUAUUAUGAGCAUUGUUAUAUUUUAUGUCUCCUAUAAGCUGUAAAUUCCUACAUAGCAAGAAUUCUGUCUUACUCAUCCUUUAACAACUACUGUGUACCUUAUAAUGUUUCAUAAAAUAUUAUGAUUUGGUUUUAUUAUUCACAAAAGAAUGCUAUAAGAGGUGAAAAAUGGAGAGGCUAGAAAGCAUAAAAACAAGUUACAUCAGGUGGUAGAGCCUGGUUUAAGGGUCAAAGAUAAAAGAAGGGAAGGUUAAGGGCAGGGCUUUAGAGGGAGAGAGGAUAAACACAGUUUGAUUAAAUGGCUGAUUCAGCCGGGUGUGGCGGCUCAUGCGUAUAAUCCCAACACUUUGAAAGGCUGAGGCAGGAGGAUUGCUUGAGCCUAGGAGUUCAAGACCAGCCUGGGCAACAUGGAGAAAUCCUAUCUCUACCAAAAUACAAAUACAAAAACAAAAAUUAGCCAGGUGUGGUUAUAUACACCUGUAGUCCCAGCUGCUUGGGAGGCAGAGGUGGGAGGAUUGGUUAGGUCUAGGAAGUUGAGGCUGCAGUGACCUAUGAUUGCUCCACUGCACUCUAGCCUUGGUGACACAGAGAGAUCCUGUCUCAAAACAAAAACAAACAACAACAACAAAAAACAUAUAUAUAUAUAUAUGAGGUUUAUCCACAGUAAAGUUCAGUCUAGGGUUAAUAAAAGAUUCUAGGGUUCACUAAGACAAAGAGUAGUCGCAGUAGCAGAGCCUUGGGUGAAGCUAAGGUCCCCAGGAGAUCUGGGAUGUCUGUGAGGAACAGUGAGGCUUAGUCAUUCAGACAAGCCAGCAGAAGUGAAGUUUAGAGAAUGUGGAUGGGCCUCAGGCUCUAGACAUCAAAACAAACAGAUAGAAAAGGCAGAGUGUAGAAUCCAGACAGUGAGGCUCACAACAAGGUAUGCAAUUCUGCAUAAGCAGAUUUGAGGGGACACCAACUAUGGACUGAUGUAGAUAAAUAUUUCUGGUAAUUCCAGUUAGUGAUUCACUCUGAACUCACAUAGGAUAGUAUCUCUUCAAAGGCACUUGUGUUGUAAUUAAAUGCACACAUAAGACAUAAUGCUUAUUGAGCCCUUAGCAUGUACCACCCACUCUUAUGCAUACUAUAUGUUUAAACCAUUUAAACUCACACCAACCCCCUGGGGGUAGGUAGUAUUAUUAUCCCUGUUACAGAUAAGGAAAGUGAGAAGUAGGAGUUAAUUGGUCUCAUGAUCCCCUACAGGCUGGCCUUCCAGAAAAAGGAGGUAACUUGCCCCAGGAUACCCUGGAAACCAAUCAGAAUGAAUUGCCUUAAACUCUGGCUUGUAGCCCAAAGCAAGGCUUGCCCACAAGUCUUGCCAGUAUGUGGUUGAACAGAAAUUAGAAUCCAGACAGCCUGAGUCCUUUUCUUGCCAGGCAGGGGCUGGGGCUUCCCCAACCAUGAAAGUUCAGGUGGUAGAUCCUGCCACUGCUUUGCACACCAGCUCCCUGGUGCUAACCUCAACUGCCAGUGCUGAGCUGGAAGGAUAGGGCUGGAGGCAAACUCCUACCCCAUCAUGUUGCUGGUGUAUUCCAUCCUGGUAUUGGUCACACCAAGGAAGGGCCUGGACUUUCCUAAUCAUGCAGCUUAAAAGCAACACAAGGCAAGGCGGGGAGUCCGCUCUCCUGAAGUCUGACAUCCAGGAAGACCAGAUUGCUAUGUGCUGUCUUUGACUUACUUGGAGACUCACACACCUACACUAGUGCCCCCUUAUCUGAGGGGGAUGCAUUCCAAGACCCCCAGUGGAUGCUUGAAACCAUAAAUAAUACCAAACCCUACAUAUACUAUGUUUUUUCAUAUAUAUACCUAUGAUAAAAUUUAAUUUAUAUAAUAGAUUAGGCAGAGACUAAUAACAAUAACUAAUAAUAAAAUAGAAGAAUUAUAACAACAUACUAUAAUAAAAGUUAACGUGAACAUUGUUUGUCUCAAAAUAUCUUAUUGUAUGUAAUAUUUUUGGACUGUGGUUGUUCAUAGCAAGUGAAAACUCAGAUGGGGGAGGGUGGCAUACUGUAUUUAUUUUCCUGUAUCCAUUAGUGUUUCCCAGUGAACACUGCACCAGGAGGUUGGCCAUUUGUCUUUAUUUAUACAUCAAACUAAGGCAUGGAGAAUAAGAGCUUGGUAAGGUCAUAUAGCCAGGAGGUGGUUGAACUGAGAUUCAAACUGAGACAGUCUGAGUCCAAAUUCUACCACCUCUUGUGUGUGACAUUUAAUGGAUAGGUGGGCUUUUGUAACCAGUGUCUCUGCCUUUCUCCAUGAUUCACAGCACAGAAACUUGUGCAUACAUUCUCACUUGAUAUCUGAAUGACUGUAACAGUGAUGUAAAUUAACAAGGAAGGGAGAUAGCCCUGAUUUAAUUGGAAAUCACUGACAGAGCUCGCCCAGUAAACUCUCUACAAACAGAAUACAAAUGUUUUGUAUUUAAUUGCUAAAGUGUUUUAAAAUUGAACUCAAAUUAAUAAAUACUUAUUGUAUCUGUCAGUUAAACGAAACAACCAAUAAACAACCAACUCUGUUUUCUAAUCAAGAGGGACUGAUCCUUUAAAAAAAAUAGGGUUUAAAAAAGAUGAUAUGAUCAAUGUAAAAUUGGAUUAUAGACUUUUAGAGUCUUAAAAGAUGAGAAAAGAGAUAAAGAUGAAUAGAUAUGGAGUAACUAGGAUAAGACUCUCUCACAAACUGGACCUUAAACAGAUUUAGGAAGAAAUAUAGGAUUAGGAUAGAGAAAAAGAAGAGAAAGAAUUGCCUAUAGGCAUAAUAAAAAGCACAAGUGUAUCAAUCAACACAGGGUAUUGUGGACCAGUGAGGAAGGAUCAUGAUCUAGACUAGGGGAUUCAUGUUGGAAACAGUGAGACAAGUUAGAAAGGAUAGGAUGGGACAUAUUAUAUGGUUCCAAACAUAAUAAAUGAGCACUUGAGCUAGAAAGUAGUAUAAUGUUCACAGGUGGUAAAGAGGUAUAAUGAAAAAACUAUACUUCACAAAAAUUAGUGGUGUUCAGUGGGUUGGAGAGAAGACCAAUUAGAAGGUUAUCUGUGGAAUUACAACAACCCAGUGAAUUGAGCUGAUGGAGAGAGAUGCUCCUCCCACUACCAACACUCAAACAUAAGGCAAAAAUAUUUAUAGGUGAUGAGUAAUGAUGAAAAAACAAAAGAACAAAUGAUAGAUGACAUGAAGAAUGGGAGUAGGGAAGACCAUAUUUAAGACUCUGAGGUCAUUAAAUGAUGUAACAUGUUUACUAGCCCAAAAAUAUAUACUAAAAGAGUAGAAAGAAAACAAAAAAUUUCCAAAUCAGUAGCAAGGAUCAAGAAAACAAUCCAAAUGGAAGGAAAGAACAAUGUCCCUUGGAACAUAACAAUAGAACAUAAUAUGAACAGUACCUCCUUCUAUGUAGUGUAGAUAUUAAACAUAGGGUGGGAAGUACACAUAUCAAUUUCAAAAUAGUGGUUUAAUCUGAAAUUGUUAAACAGAGAGGGAGGGAAGCAAUAGAACUGAGAGAGCGUUCAAAAGCCUUUUGUUGUAUCUGUAGAGUCUUUUAUUUCUUAAAAAUACAAUCGUAUACCACAUGAUAACAUUUUGGCCAAUGGACUACACAUAUGACAUGGUCCCAUAAGAUUAUAGUACUGUCUUUUUACUGUACCUUUUCUAUGUUUAGAUAUAUUUACAUAUACAAAUACCACUGUUAAAUUGCCUACAGUAUUCAGCACAGUAACAUGCUGUGCAGGAUUGUAGCCUAGGAGCAAUGGGCUACACCAUGUGGCCUAGGUGUGUCGUAGGCUCUACUAUUUUGGUUUGUAUAAGUACACUCUAUGAUGUUCACACAAUGAUGAAAUCACCUAACGAUGCAUUUCUCAGAAUAAGUUUCUGUUGUUAAGCAACCCAUGAUUGUAUCUGAAGCAAAUAUCUAUA
rnacentral:lncRNA from 10 species